GACGUAGGGGACGAGCGUUGUCCGGAUUCAUUGGGCGUAAAGCGCGCGUAGGCGGUCUGUCGCGUCGGAUGUGAAAAUCCAGGGCUCAACCCUGGACCUGCAUUCGAUACGGGCAGACUAGAGUUCGGUAGGGGAGACUGGAAUUCCUGGUGUAGCGGUGAAAUGCGCAGAUAUCAGGAGGAACACCGGUGGCGAAGGCGGGUCUCUGGGCCGAAACUGACGCUGAGGAGCGAAAGCGUGGGGAGCAAACAGG
rnacentral:rRNA from 1 species